rnacentral:siRNA from 1 species
GAGUCAUUCUUCCAUUGCCUUACU